CGAGUUACAACCUUAAUGAGGAGGCAUAAGUCGCAUACAUCUAGGCCAGCCUCUCUAAUUGAAGCACAUCCCGGAAAACUCUCUCUUUCUCUCUCGCACACACAAAACAAACAGGACUCUAUUCGGUAACAUUUUACCUCAAAAUCGAAAAAAUUAAAGAUGAACAUCCAAAGAGAAACCGGAAAUCUGAAAAAUAAACCUGCCAAUUGCGAGGAGCCCAUUUCCACAAUACAAGCAGCAACUUACCCAUUAAUGGAUACCUUUAAUUACGAAUUCUAGUCAGAGUCUUAAGCAUAAUAUUCAUAAAACUAAGCACAGCAAUAUCACGCACAGAGAAAGAGAAAGAAAAUUGAAAUUACUCAGCAGGGGAAGACAUGAUGAAUCUAGAAAACGAGUUCGAUCGAAAUCAAGCUAAACAUAAAACUAACCUCAAGGAGCAGCGGCUAAGUCGAGAACAGACCGGAAGAGCAGUGCACGUGCUGCCCUCCGAUUGAAGCAGCUAAUUCUGCUCCUGCCUCGUCUGGUGUACAGCAAGGUAAACCAGAGCAGCGUGGCAGCGACCGGAGAAAGCUUGACAGCAGCGUCGUUUCUGGAGUACAGCAGCAGCUCUAAGCAGCGGCGAAGUAUGGCGCUAAGGGGAUCAGAAAAACACUCAGAGUAGCGUCGUUUUUCGUUGCUUGCUGACCGGCGGAGAUUGUGGCGGCGGCGGCGGCGAGGAAACCUACGAUUUUAUGAUUGGAGAGAGGCGACAGAGGACGUGGUUUGUGGCUGCGUUGACUGUUGAUACGGCGGCAGCGCAAGGAACGAGUGGCGUUGGUCGGGGUGAGUCGGCGCCGGAGAGAUCGUAGGCGGCAGAUUUGGGAAGAAGAAGAUAGGUGGCAGAUUUGGGAAGAAGGUGGUAGGCGCGCGCACAUUUGGGGUUAAUUAGGGCUAAUGUGUUUGAACUCAAACUGACUUCUCUUCUUUUCAUUUUUUUUUNUAAUUCUGAAUAAGCCUUUAAAACCGGUUUAAAAACGGUUUAAUAUGUUUAAUUAAAA
rnacentral:lncRNA from 1 species